rnacentral:rRNA from 2 species
UACGUAGGAUGCAAGCGUUGUCCGGAAUUAUUGGGCGUAAAGAGCGAGCAGGCGGUGUACCAAGUCAGAUGUGAAAUAUCCCGGCUUAACCGGGAGGGGCCAUUUGAAACUGGUAGACUAGAGUGGAGCAGAGGACAGUGGAAUUCCCGGUGUAGUGGUGAAAUGCGUAGAUAUCGGGAGGAACACCAGUGGCGAAGGCGACUGUCUGGGCUUUAACUGACGCUGAGGCGCGAAGGCCGGGGGAGCAAACAGG